rnacentral:lncRNA from 1 species
AUGAGGAAGGUAGAGCAACUACUGAAUUUCCUGGAGUCGAUCUCCAAUGCGAUCCUACCAUUGGGGAAGCCAUCCUUGGUGAUACUUCCACCGAGUUGGAAGAGUUACUGGGUCCUCCUCCCAAUAGAUUCUUCGAAGCCCCAUUGCCACAUGAGGUAGAAGAAACGGAUGAUCCUCAAGCCGAAGACAGGCUUAGGAUUCGCGUGUGGAA